CCAAGGAAGGCCCCACGUCCCCGGGUCCCCGGAGCACCCACCGCCACCAGGAGCGGGGCCUCCGCGUGGCCCCCGGGGUGGGUAUGGAGCCCCCCCCCCCCAGCCCUCACGAAGGCCCUCCUUCUCGCCAGCGGGCCUGGGACUUCUCCCCGCGCUGCGCGGAGCCACGGUCCAGCAGCAGCCUCGGGCCAAGCCUGCAGUCCCUGAGCCCCCGCGGGGGCAGCAGCCAUGGGGGCAGCCAUGUUGGGGCCUCCGAGGCGCGGGAGCAGGGGCCGAGCGGGGCAGGGUGUGUGUGGACCCCCUUUCCCAGGGCAGAUGGGGCCGGGGCUUGUCGGGGCGGCGUGCCCGCGGCCUUAACCCGGGACUCCUGGCUCCUGGCCGCGGACGGGCGCGUGGGACCCCCGUCUGGGCUCACCCUAGGCAGGAGCGGUCCGACUAGGCCUCGCCGCCCACCGCGUGGUCAGGAGGAAGUCGUCGAGGGCCACUUCCGGUCAUGAGUUGUGAUACCUUCAACCUGCUGAGCUGAAGCCUUGCACCGAUGACUUAAAUUCUUUGAGACCCCAGAUACAUAGUGAAGGGACGAAUCUGGGCCCAGGAAACAGCAGCCUGAGAUGAGUUUUCAUCUUGAAAGCUAUAGAUGAUAAUGUUGAAUACUACCUGAGCCCUGCGAUCCAGGACAACAGUGAAGUUUAAGAAGUCCUUUGAGUUCCAGCAAACAGCUUGCUUCAAAGAUCUGGUCUCCGUAUGACUUAGAAUAGUUCCUCCUGAAGCAGAACUAAGAGCUGACUGAACAGCAUCUGCACAACAGAAGACCAUAAAGAGAAUGGCAAGAGAGAUGAAGAGACGGAAAAAAACAGCUUACAGCUUAACGCCCUAGAAAGCCCCAUAUUAGAAUGAGAACAGAGCU